GCCUCCUCUGACCAGUGCGGGUCCCGGAGUAGUGGAGGUGCUGCACUGCUGCCAUCAUGGCACCCAAAAGGAGAGGGAAGAAAGGGAAAGCCAAAGGGAAUGCAGUCGUUGAUGGGGUCGCACCAGAGGACAUGUCCAAGGAGCAGGUGGAGGAACAUGUCGCCCGCAUCCGGGAGGAGCUGGACCGGGAGCGGGAGGAGCGCAACUACUUUCAGCUGGAGCGGGACAAAAUCCACACCUUCUGGGAGAUCACGCGGAGGCAGCUGGAGGAGAAGAAGGCUGAGCUGCGCAACAAAGACCGGGAGAUGGAGGAGGCCGAGGAGAGGCACCAGGUGGAGAUCAAGGUUUACAAGCAGAAAGUGAAGCACCUUCUGUACGAACACCAGAACAAUCUGGCAGAGGUGAAGACUGAGGGCACCGUGGUCAUGAAGCUGGCCCAGAAGGAGCACCGCGCCCAAGAGGGCGCUCUGCGCAAGGACAUGCGCGUGCUGAAAGUGGAGCUGAAGGAGCAGGAGCUGGCUAACGAGGUGGUGAUAAAGAACCUGCGUCUGAAACAAGCCGAGGAGAUUACCAAGAUGCGAAAUGACUUUGAAAGGCAAGUUCGAGAAAUCGAGGCCAAAUAUGAUAAAAAGAUGAAGAUGCUUCGAGACGAGCUUGACCUGCGGAGAAAGACUGAGAUCCACGAGGUGGAGGAGAGGAAGAACGGGCAGAUCAGUACGCUGAUGCAGCGUCAUGAGGAGGCCUUCACUGACAUCAAAAACUACUACAAUGACAUCACUCUCAACAACCUGGCCCUCAUCAAUUCCCUCAAGGAGCAGAUGGAGGAUAUGAGGAAGAAGGAGGAGUACCUGGAGAGGGAGAUGGCGGAGGUGUCUCUGCAGAACAAGCGGCUGGCUGAGCCGCUGCAGAGAGCCAAGGAGGAGAUGAGCGAGAUGCAGAAGAGACUGGGGAACCAUGAGAGGGACAAGCAGAUCCUGGCCUGUACGAAGGCACGUUUGAAGGUCACUGAGAAGGAGCUGAAGGACCUGAAGUGGGAGCAUGAGAUCCUGGAGCAGAGGUUCAUCAAGGUGCAGCAGGAGAGGGAAGAGCUCUAUCGGAAGUUCACUGCAGCCAUCCAGGAGGUGCAGCAGAAGACAGGCUUCAAGAACCUGGUGCUGGAGCGUAAGCUGCAGGCACUGAAUGCUGCUGUGGAGAAGAGAGAGGUGCAGUUCAAUGAGGUGCUGGCUGCCUCCAACCUGGACCCUACAGCACUAACACUUGUGUCUCGCAAACUUGAGGACGUUCUAGAGUCGAAGAAUACCACCAUCAAGGACUUGCAGUAUGAGCUGGCCCGAGUCUGCAAGGUAUGGCUAAUUCCCCCAUCCACUGGGCUUCACCUUCUUCCUCAGGGGUUCUUCUGCCUGAGAACUGUGCCCAGCUUCACCUUUCGAAUAUCACAGACAAAGGGUCUCUGAGGAAUCUUACUCCUUUUUCUGCAUGCUCCGUUUAGGAGGUAGCAUGUAACCCCAUGUGAUGGGCACUCAGAGCCUUAGGGCCUGAGACUCAGCACCUUGUCCUGACUGUGCACAGGCUGGCCCGCUACACCCAGGGCUCUACCUCCUACCAUGUUCAAACCUGCCUCUCCUCACCCUUCCUUCCUGGAAGAGCCUCUGUGCCUUCCAGGUUAAUGCCCACUGCCUUCAGCAGGAGCAGUUUGGGCUCCCACCUUUUCUCAUACUCUUGUAAUCUAAAUAGCCCGAUGCCCUUCCAUGCUGAACGUGUGUGUCAGUGGCCUCCUGCCAGACCUCGGCUGCCGUCUGUCCCAUGCACCUGAGAGGCCUGGGUGCUACAUCCAGAUGGUCCUAAGGGUCUACUGUCCUUCCUUUGCUCCCUGUCCGCCAAGGACAUACCCACAGCAGCCACCUCACAGGUUACAUUCUUAGUCCUGUUGGGCAGGCAUUGCAUUCCUGUUCAGUUCAGGGCCUCAUCCAGACAUGCAUGCCAUCCUGUUUGAUUGCUAAUAGAAGUGAGCAGCAUCUGUUACUGUGGCCCAGGAUCCAUGCUAUCCCAGCUGCCCCAGCUUCCCAGCUCUCCCUAGAGCCCAGGUUAGAGCUUCUCACACCUGAUCCUCAGCUGACAUGGGCUGAGCAUAGGGCAGUCUGCUGUGUGUACCUUGGCUCUUGGGGGCCAAGGUCUGGACCUAGAGUGUUGGUAGCCAGC
rnacentral:lncRNA from 1 species